rnacentral:rRNA from 1 species
AGUGAACGCUGGCGGUAGGCCUAACACAUGCAAGUCGAACGGCAGCGCAGUAAGGGCGUGCUCUUACGGGUGGCGAGUGGCGGACGGGUGGGGAAUACAGCGGAAUCUACUUUUUCGUGGGGGAUAACGUAGGGAAACUUACGCUAAUACCGCAUACGACCUACGGGUGAAAGCAGGGGAUCUUCGGACCUUGCGCGAUUGAAGGAGCCGAUGUCGGAUUAGCUAGUUGGCGGGGUAAAGGCCCACAAAGGCGACGAUCCGUAGCCGGUCUGAGAGGAUGGAUCGGCACAACGGGAAUGGACAACCGUCCUGAAACCUAGGGGCGGCCCAAGCGGGGAAUUUUGGGAACAGGGGGGAAUGCUGCUCCAGGCAUACCGGCCGGGUGCAGCAAGGCCUCGGGGUGUAAAGCCCUUUUGUUGGGAAAGAAAAGCAGCAGGUUAAUACCCCGCUGUUCUGACGGUACCCAAAGAAUAAGCACCGGCUAACUUCGUG